GAUGAAGAACGUAGUGAAAUGCGAUAAGUAAUGUGAAUUGCAGAAUUCAGUGAAUCAUCGAAUCUUUGAACGCACAUUGCGCCCCCUGGUAUUCCGGGGGGCAUGCCUGUUCGAGCGUCAUUUCACCACUCAAGCCUCGCUUGGUAUUGGGCAACGCGGUCCGCCGCGUGCCUCAAAUCGACCGGCUGGGUCUUCUGUCCCCUAAGCGUUGUGGAAACUAUUCGCUAAAGGGUGUUCGGGAGGCUACGCCGUAAAACAACCCCAUUUCUAAGGUUGACCUCGGAUCAGGUAGGGAUACCCGCUGAACUUAAGCAUAUCAAUAAGGGAGGA
rnacentral:misc_RNA from 1 species